CCAAUAGUAAGUGCUGCUGAGAAAUUUGAAAAUCACCCAUCGUUACAAAACACGACUCAACCUAUCAGAGUUGGCGUGCAUACGAGUAAGACACUAAAGAAAGCGCGUCUAACUGAGGGUUAAAAUCAAAAUGGCGGCGGUCAGAGAACAUGUAGUGCAUCUUUAAAUAAAUUACAAUUAUUUUAAUUGUUUUAUUACAUAUCUAAUAAUUUGUGUUCUUUUAAUUAAUAUAUUUAUUAAUUUGUGACAAAUAAAUCAGAAAUUAAUUUUCAUAAAUAAAAGUGCGGGAGUGUAAUUAAUUUUCUAAAAUUUGAUGUGUCAGUGAAAAUAUUUUGUGCCGGGUGUAGUUUAUUUUGUUUUUAAUAAUUUUAAUUAAUUAACACAAGCUAAUUAAUAAUCUGUGAUAAUUUAUUGAUCUAUACUAAUAACAAUAAUAAUAUCAUUAAUCAAUUCGUGACUUUAUUUAAAGUAUCAGGAUCAAGAUCAUCUGCUUUUGCGAAAGUUGCAGUAGCGGCAAAAGUCAGAAAUUAAUUUCUGAAAAUCAUCGAAUCAUGUUCAAAUUAUUCUUGGUAAUAUUAUUAAUCGCACUUCUGGCCAUUGGUUUAGAUGCCAGUUGCAGUAACCUGAGUGAACCCUGUGGUAAAUAUGGAGGAGGAAAAGUGUGUUGCAGAGGCUUUGUAUGUGUCGAUGACAGAAAUUGUGAUUUCUCUGGAUAAAAAUAAAUGAAUUUGUAGUUGAAAAGCUUAUUUUAUAAAUUAAUUAU